GUGGGGUGGGGGGGUGAGCAUCGCGGAACAAAGGGGCUCUGCUGGCGGCGGGGCUGGAGGGGAGCGCCUGUGUGUGUGUGUGUGUGUCUGUGUGUGUGUGUGUGUCUGUGUGUGUGCGUCUGUGUGUGUGCGUGUCUGUGGCUCUGUCCGUGUGGCUCUGUCCGUGUGGCUCUCUCCGUGCGUGUGUCUCUGCGGGGCCGGGAUCGCCCGGUCCAAGCCCUCCGCCGGCAGCGCCGCGCAGAGCCUCUGGAGUUCGCCGUGUUUCGGAUGGCGUGUGGAUGACGGGAAGCGAAUUCCCCGCCGGGGCCGUGUGGGCUCCCCGCGCCGCGCCGCGCCCCGCCGCUCGCCCGCUGGGAUGCUGCAGGGCCCCGCCGCCGCCGGCCGCACCGAGCUGACAGCACCGCCGCAUCUGCGGGGCAAAAUGGGCUCUACGUGCCCUUAGCUGCAAUAAAUAAAAGGUUUUCUCCGUGUUUUAAUUAAUUAAUUAAUUAAUUAAGGUACAUUCAGUGUCGUCUUCACUGAGAUAGAAUCAAGAUAGCACAAGGUGUUCCUUGUAAUUUACGUUUGUUUCCUUGUAGCAGUAGGACAGAAAACGUGCUAAGGAAGCUCAGAGUAAACGUGUUUCAUUAUACCUGAAGAUAUUCUGACCAAACCUCCCCCUCUGAUAACCUGUCUUGGGCAUAUGUGAAAGAAAUUUGAAACAAAACACAGGAAAAACAAGCAAACAAACAAACAAAACAAACAAACAAAAAAACACAGACGAAAUGGUGAAAUAAGCCAAGUAUAUACUGAAGCCUGAGAAUUAUCUCUUUUCUAUAUUUUAACAGUAUGCAUAGCUUCAGUAUGCAUUAGCUCUUGUGUAAGUUCCCAUGGAAAAGAAAAAAGAACACUGUCAGUGCUCUCAAACUCUGUCAGUAGCCUCUAAGCUGUUCCCAUCAGAAAUAUUUGAACUCAUGGCAUGAAAAGGUUUAAAAAUGUUUGAGUGUAAUUCCUAAUUUAGGAGAACUUAUAAUGGUGAUCAAUCACACACAUCAAACCACAUGAAAUGAAAUAUUGCAUAAAAUAAGGGAUACUUUCUGUAGUUUUACUGCUGUUUCGUUUUUUUUUUUUUAGUCAAAUGUUCAGUACACUGUAUCAUACAAAAUAAUCCGUUCAUUUGAAAUCAGUCAGUCAACAUGUUGGUAUGGAGCUUUCAGUGACUUGGUUAUUCUUCUUUCAUAUGAAAGAUUGGGGGUUUUAAUUUGGUGAUGCAAAAAGACAAUCCCAUGGCAAUUAAUAAAGGCCAAUUUAUGGUCUUGUCAGCACUGAGACAGUAAUACAGGGCUUCCUUUUCUGACAAAUAAUCAGGAGAGGUUUCCUUUUCAGCGACAGAAUCUUUUUGAAACCAAUGGUUGCUCUUAUUUUGCUCAGCUUUAUUAAGUUGACUGGUUUUACAGAAAGCAGAUAGUGUUUUCAGUUGCUCUUUCUAUGCAGUUUUUAUAGAAUAGGAUUCUUCACUUCCAACAAAGGUGUUUACCCCCCUGUACAGAUGAGAAGGGGUUCCCUUAAAUAAUCACUUUGUUUCUUGUUGUAAUACUAAUGUUGCUUCAUAGACUUACCACAUUUCAUCAGGAAAAAUGAGAAGGGAAAAAACAAAACAAAACAAAACCACCAAUACAACCAAACAACAAAACGAAAUGAAAACCAAACAAAACAACAACAACAAAACACUUAGACAGUGAAUAUCAUGUGGUGUUGCAACACUAUGAUUGUUUUAAAUCAGAGGUUUGAAACCCGUCCAGGUUGAAACUCUUUCCUAAUACCACUGACUAUUUGGAAAGAUGAUCACCUCACCUUAUUUUUUUGUGGACAAUCAGAGAAGCCUCUUUUAGAAAUCCUCCUUAGGAAAAGACAAAGACUGUGUAGGUAAGUGUAUUCUAUUUCCUCUUUAUUCUAGCAGAAAGUCCAUUAAAAUACUACUGACAAGUGCUAAACAGGAAGUGCAUACUUUCACAGCUUGUGCCUUGAAUUUAGUGCCUUGAAACUGUCUUCAGUAUUCAUUCCAUUUUUUGUAUGAAGAAACUAAAUUCUGGUACAUAAAGUGUACGUAAAUAAUCAGCUCUUCUGAAGUCAAGAUCAGGAAACUGUGACAUCACAAUUGGCUUUGAAGAGAUUGGUGUGAUGUGACAGGGAGGAUUAUGACUUCAAGUAGGAAUUAAGUAGCAGGGACUCAAAUGAGACAAAAAUCCUAUUUUGAAGCAAAGAAAAUAAAUCCUCGUAAUUGUAGGAAAAGAAGAAAAUGGUACUGAAGGGAAUGUAACAAUGGACUCUUGUAUGAGCUGUUUCUUAAUUCUUUACAAAGUCAAGAGGCACAAAGAACUCUCUAAGGAUUAAAGAAGAUAACAGUUAUGAAGCAUAAGUUUAUAUUAGCACAUUUAUUUUUUCUUUAACAUUUUUAGAAGCAUUUAGAAUAUUUGAUAUGAAUUUGCUUUACAGUCUGAAUCACAUACACCUCUUAUUCGUAAUUCCUUUAGUAUUAAGCUAGUAGUCUUUCCUUUUGAGAAAAGAAGAGUGCAAAUAUUUAAUGUCACCUUUUAAGUCUCAACUUCAAGUUUCAGCAUGAACUUUGACUUUUUUUCCUUUCUCUCUAGUCUAGAAGUUAAUUUCACAAUUCUUUUAUACAUAUGCUAAGAUUUUUUGUAUAUUCAAUACAAAACACAGAAAAUCAUGCAAAGAUAACUGUGUUCUCAGUUUAUGCUACAUUUCCCCUCUAGGAUAAGUAUAGAUAGUAUAGAUAAAAGGCAUGUUUAUAUACUAUUUGGUCAAUAAAAGCUGAGUUUUUUUCCUGAUUUAUAGGAACCACAGUUACUCAUUAAUAUUCAAAAUACAGAUAUUUCUUCCAAGAUACACUCUGGUUAUUACUAAAAGAAAAUUCUACUGAUCUUCCUUCUUUACUUCAUGGUUGAUAUAAGGUCUAAGUUCUCAUUCUGAACAAAAGAGGCCUGGGCUUUUGGUGUUUAUUUCUUUUGAUUUCUUUGGUAUUUUUUUUUGUUUGUUUGUUUGUUUUAGUUGGUUUUGUUUUGUUUAUUUGUUUGUUUGUUUAUUCAAUUAAGGAACAUUCCUGAGACACCUAUGUAGAGAAACACUGAUAUAAUGAUAGCUAGAGUGCUGAUCACUUAGUCCCACUGAAAAAAUGGAUCACAAGAUUAAGAAUAUCUUUCUCAAGCAGAAGAAAAUAAUUCAUUUUAAAAUAGAAGUAAAAAAAUGCUUUGGUCAAACAUCAAAUUAAUAUGAAUAUAUAUAGUGAAAACUCUCUAUAUAUAGUUUCACUGCCUUCAUGGAUUUGUCUCAUCUAAAUCUAGCUGGUUUUUGUACUGUGGGCUAGACAGGCAGCUUUUGAUAUGGGCAUAAUUUUUCAAAGAAAAAAGCCAUCUUGCUAGUAGUUUGCUAAAAUAGGCACAGGUCACUCACAUGCACAAGUGCAUGUGCUCAUUGUCCUUCUUUCUAUAUGGAGAAAUGGGUUGCCGUGGACCUGAAAAGUUACUUCUCACUGGCCAAGUGUUAAGAUGUACUUUGGGGAAGCAUAGAAAAUUUCUUUUGAAUUCCAAAGUCAAGCUGAGAGUUAGUAUAGACAUUAUUUAAAAAAAAAAAAAAAAAAAAAAAAAAAAGCUCUCUAGAAAAGAUUUUUAAUGCAUUUAUUACAGACUUCUUGGAUGGAAGAGAAAGGCAGAGCUAUCGUCAUUGUGAUUUCUCUUUUGCUUAAGGUGAAGUUAAGUGAGUACUUAGAAUGAUCUCAAGACCUUACAGAUUUCAGAAGCGUCUGACUUGAUCUCAAAGAUUUUUGCUUAAUCCUCUCUAAACCAACAAUUAACAAUUUACUGAUUGUAUAUGUUUUUCUUGAUGUGCAGGGCAUUAUAUAAAAAAUUAAUUCUACUAAAGUAUGUAUUAGUCACGUUAAGCACUGAAAAUUCCUCUGGAAAUUAGUGAUAUUUUACCCACUAGUGAAAUGAUAAAUAAACAUUUUUAAACAUUACAUAAAUACAUAUUUCUUAUUUUAAAUUCAUAUUUUGACUCACAUACUAUCUUUAAAGGGAUAGUUGUUUCAGCUAUAUAAUGAGGCCCAAUUUCUACCAAUUUAGCUUAAGGCACCUGUGAUACCUAAUUUACUUUAACUUCGUAAUUUGAUGGUCUGGAGGAACAGCUCCUGAGAGUAAUUUAUCCUAUUUACAGUCUGAGUAUAUGCAGGAGUAUAUCUGAGUGUAUAGUCAAAUCCAUUGACUAUAAAAGGCAGACUUCAAUGACUGUGGUCCUUAACUUAGGAGUCUUAGUAAGGUACUUUAAGUUAGGAUAAGCCUGACAAUGACAGCUACAGCUGGUCUGCUAAGUCAAUGGAAAAAUGAUCCUGGACUUUAAAUGUCCAGUGAAUUAAUGCAGAAAACUAAUUACCCUUUAAGUUCAUAUUUCUGGCUGCAUCGAAGCACUUUGGGAAGUAUUUAAAAAGCAUUUCCUUACCAAGUCUAUUUUGUCCCCAAAGCCACAUUUCUAAUCAUGUGUAGAGUCUCUAGUAUCAUCAGAUGUCUUUCACUUUCCAAGCACCUAAAAAAAAACAAACAAACACAAACAUAAAACAGGUAAGAAGCCCUCUUGGAAGAAUGUACACAUGGAUUAGAAACAUUAUCUCUUCAUACGAAGUGAGAGGUACUGAUUAAGCACUUGGUUCUGACAAAUCUAUGCAUCAGUUCAUAACAAUGUGCUAUUUUAAAGUUGCAAAAUUUGAUAUUUUUAUUUGCCCUGUUUCUGUGCCCAGAUUCUCUAAAAUAUGUCUCAUAAUUUGCUUGAGCCAUUGGGUAAAAUAUAUGUCAGACAUGAUUUAACUUCUAUGCUGUGUCUCAAAGAGCAAUGCAUAUAGAAGUCAUAAUGCAACAGACAGAAAAUAUCUGCAGAAUUCAUAGUCUAUAUUUCAGUUAUAACCAUUCCUUCAUGUGUUCCUUCUAUAUUUAGAAGAAAGCUUGGCUAAACAGAACAAAAUGGUUUGAAACACAAUAAAAUAAAUAAAUAAAUAAAUAAAUAAAUAAAUAAAUAAAUAAGGAGUUUAGUUAAGGUCCUGAAUCAUACCUUGGACCUUAAGUUCUUCAGCUUUAAAGAACUGAAAAAGGUAAAUAAGAAGGGAAUCUCACUCUUGUCAGGAAAGGAGCUUGUCUGGAAAUAUGAUUUUCAAAGACGGUUGCAAAAUUGCACAACAAAACUAAUCCACAGGGAGUAAUACUGAAAGGGACAUGGUCAGUCUGUGGUCCAGUAUAACCAUGCAUAACACAGACUCCACCAGGGUGGCUACAGAGAAUUGGACGACACAAAUGUGCACAAUCUUGGAAAGCCUGAACCUUUCCAAUUUCAAAUCAGGUUACUUCAUUCCUUUAAAAGAGUAUAUAGAUAAAAAAAAAAAAAAAAAAAAAAAAAAAAGACAAGGUAAAAUGUUAGUUUACAAUUCAGUAGCUUCCAGAUUCAUAUUCUUCCAGAAUAUGAAGAACUCCACAGAAUAACAUUCAUCCUCUUCUCUUAAGCUCCUUACUUCAGGCUAUCUAAAACCCUAAUAUCCUUAUCUAUCUACUUAUGAAAGUCAUCUGCUCAGCGGAAUUACAAAAUCUUUGCUCAGUGGAAUAAUGAAAUCUUUGCUCAGUUGGGGUGAUAUCUGAUAGAAUAGAUACAUAAUGUUAGCUGAAGAAAAUAAGAAAAGGUUUGUAUCCUUUAUAUUUGGUGCUGCUUUAAUUAACAUGGGCGAUAUAGCUAAAGAUUUUGAAAUUGUGGUGAACUGGUAGAAAAUAUAGAUGAACAAAUCAAAUUGGAUAAAAUGAAUGCUUUUAUUUUUCAGGAGUUCCCAUAUUGAUUUUUCAUACCUAAGUCUUUGUAAUGGACUUUGGCAAUUUUUUGAGAUCUAUAUAUAAAUAAAAAAUAUGAUGCUUUAUAUUAUAAAUAUAUAUAUAUAUGUGUGUAUUUUUCAUUAGCAGACCUUUCUCUGCAGAUAUCUAUUCUAAUAGAUAACAGAUUGUAUGGUAAUAUGAUUUAUCAUCCAAAAUAAAAUAAAAAGUAGUGAUUUUUUUUUUUGACUUCACAGCUUUUGACUUCUUUUUGUUUUGUUUUGUUUUAAUUUUCACUCUAUAACAUACUCAUAGCAUGGCAAUCUUUCAAGAUUUAUACAAAUUUUAUAAUUUUAGAUGCAGUCCUUUUUCUCUGUAUUCCAGGAAAUGUAGGGUUUGGAUGUCAGCCACCUUCCUCUGUUCCUGCAAAAGCUUCACAACGAUCAGUGGCUCCUUGCCUAAUUAGUCCCAUCUCUCUUAUAUUGCAAAUCCUUUCUAAACUGCUUUGUUACUAGAUUGGUCCUGCUAUUUAGUACCUUAUGUAGAGGAUACACAAAGAGGGGUAGUACAGCUUUGUCUGAGAGCAACUGAAUUGUAUUCUACCCAAUUUCAAUAAAUGGUUUCUGUUCUAGCAAAGCUUCCACCAUUUUAAAUCUCAGCAGCUUUACAGGAAUCCUAUAUGAAAGAGAUGAAUAUGUGCAAGAAUAUAGUUAGUAGAAACAAUGUGUCAUUCACUGGCACAAAUGAUUAUAGAACAUUUUUCAGAAGUUAGUAGAUUGAAUAAAGAUAUUAUCUUGCAUUAAAAAUUACUUCCUUUGUCCAUCCAGCUCUUAGCAGAGUGGACACUGGCAUGGAGCUGGUAACUCUUCAAACUUGGGAAUAUCUGGAGAGAUGCCUGAAGGGGCACUUUUUAUGCCAGUAAUUGCUAAUAGCCCCUGUACCACAGUUCAGAGCAGGAAAUAUAAAACUCCUUUCAUGUUAAUGAUUGCUUUAUAAUUGCAUAAACUGCAAUGAGAAAGCAGUCCUUUAUAGAAAGAAACUUCUCCAGCUUAGGAAGGAGAUAAAAUGUUUGUGGCUGUCCACAUGGACAUGUCCACAUGGCUGCAGUGACUGUUGAAUCCAAACUUCCAAUAGGAAGAAAGCAUGAAAUAGAAUGUUGAAGAGUCUUUCUACUAAAGUGAAACAUUACCCAGAUGACUGUUCGCACGAACUUAAUUAAAAAAUGGUAAACAUAAAUAAAUAAAUAAAUAAAUAAAGCUAGCCUUUUUUCAUUACGGCUAAGACCAGUUUUCUUCCUGUGUAAAUUAAUGAGGGUGUAAGGCUAAGUUAACAAGUCCUGAGAAAUUUGUGAAUUAGACUAGAUGCUGAGGUAUCCGUACUAACAACCAUAAAAUCAAGAAGUUACAGUUGAAAAUCACAUAAAAUUUAUCAGUCUUUAUGAUUUAUAUGCAUCCAAAAAAUAUUAGUCAUAGAAUCAUAGAAUAUCCCAAGUUGGAAGGGACCCACAAGGAUCAAGACCAACGCCUGCCUCCACACAGGUCUACCCAAAAAUCAGAUUUCAGACUAUAUGACUAAGUGCACAGUCCAAAUGCUUCUUAAAUUCCGACAGGCUUGAUGCUGUGACUAUGUCCCUAGGGAGCCUGUUCCAUUGGCUGACCACCCUCUUGGUGAAGAACCUUUUCUUGUAUUCCAUCCUGAACCUCUGUCAUGUCUUGGCUCCAUUCUCUUGGCUCAUAUUGCUGGUCAACAGAGAAAAUAGAUCGGUGCCUGUCCCCCUGUUUCCCCUUGUGAGGAAGCUAUAGACCAUGAUGAACCCUCCGCCUCCUCUUUUCCAGGCUGAACAAACCAAAUGACCUGAGCUGUUUCACUUAUGUCUUCCACUUUACCCACUUCGGCAUCUUUGUAGCUCUUUGGACACUCUCCAAUAGUUUCAUGUCCUUUUUGUACUGCAGUGCCCAAAACUGCACACAGUAGUCAAGGUGAGGUUGCACCAAUGCAGAGUAGACACAGAGACAAACUAGACUUACUCAUUAUUUAACUUCUUCAGAAAGUUAAACAAAUGUUUUCUUGAUAGAAGAAAAAAUGUUCACCUCAGUGAUAAUUUUCAGCAUAAAUUAUUCUGUCACAAAUUAUGCAGCUAAGACAACAGAGGGCUUGCAAAAAAUUAUUGUCAUCCAAGCUAAAAGUAUGUUUCAAUAAUAUCCUUCUUGCUUCAUAAGGAGACUGUACUUUUGUUUACCAAUUAAGAACAUUAUUUUGUUGUUCAUAAAUCAAUAGCAAGAAAAUAUCUAACUUGAAUUACAACUUGAAGCAAGGAAAAAAAUCAUCACAAUAUUAGAUCUUUAGUUUCCUUCUAGUAGUGUAUGUAGCAUUACACAGUCAUUGGAAAGAACUGCUAUGCAAUAUAACAUAAAACAACCUCAAGACCAUAGCAAUUAUAGUCUAGAUAUUUGAUGUACACCAUAUGAAUUAAAAAGAAAUACAAACAAAAAAAAACAAAACCAAAAAACCACACUGUUAAAUCUAAUUCACAUUACGGUAAUAGAAAGCAGAAGGAUGAAACACUAGGCAGCAGGAAUAUUUAUCUGGAGAGAUCUUAUAGAAGCCUUUCAGUACUUCCAGAAAGAUGGUGAAGGACUCUUUGCCAGACAGUGUAGCAAUAAGACAAGGGGUAAUUGUUUUAAACCAAAAGAGGGGAGGUUUAGAUAUUAGGAGGUAAUUCUUCCCUCAGAGGGUGGUGAGACACUGGAACAAGUUGUCCAGAGAAGCUGUGGAUGCCUCAUUCCUGGAAAUGUUUAAGGCCAGGUUGGGUGGGUCUUUGAGCAACCUGGUCUAGUGGAGGGUGUCCCUGCCCAUGGUAGGGUUGGAAUUAAAUGAUCCUUAAGGUACUUUUUAACACAAACUAUUCUCUGAUUCUCUGCAUCUGUAAAUAGAGCUCUGUUAAAAGAAACAACAGGAAGUAAUUUUUAUAGCUCAAGGUUCCAGAAUCAGUGCCAUGGCUUAAAGUCUGUUUGUUGCUUCUUUCCUUCUUCUCUCUUUGCCUCAGCCUCAGCAAAUCAAUCAUGUAAGUCACAAUUAGUUUGGUCAUCCAAUUUUAUUUGUCAUGCUGAAUGGAAGUGUUGUCUAGAUGGAACAUCAACUUUUCCAUACCCAUGCUGUACCCCUCUAAUUAAUCCCCCAAUUCUAGCAUCUAGAACAGAAUUAGAACAGAAGAUAAUAUAUAUAUAAGAUAACACGGACACCUUUUUUUUUUUUUUGAGUAUUUCUGUGUGCAGCAUAACUGAUGAUGUCUGCUUUCCCUCCUGUCUCUGACAUCUAAGAAAGGGUGAUCUCAUUAGCCUCUUCCAGAAGGAUUAAUAAUAGAGUGUCUUUUCUCCAUCCACUUGCCAGUUCUCAUAAAAUUAUAAAAACUGCUCAUCUUUAGGCUCUUUACCCCUCUGAAAUAGUGUUCCAGAAUUACUGUGAGUUUGACAGACAGACUGACAUGGGAAAUGAUUGCAUUCACUCAAUUACUUAGAAAUUUACUCAAUUACCUAGAAAACCAGGCUACAAAUUGCCACCUCUCCUUAUUUUGACAUGCUAAUUCAGAGAGAUUCUAGCCAACUUACUGUAGAAAAAAGAGAUCUGGACAUACACAGAAUAGCAGAAGGGUUGUUCUUGCCUGGUUGCCAUGCCCCUGAUUUGCAACCUAGGAUUAAAAUUAAGAAUGAAAAUCUGUAGUAAAUCCUUCUGCAGUUUUUCCACAGCUACUAACGCGUGCGCGCACACACACACACACACCAAAAACAAAACAAAACAAAACAAAACAGAAAAAAAAAAGUAGCCAUCUGAUCAAGGUACUACUAACCAGAGCUGUCAGCAGCUGCUCUGGAACAAUAGCUCUUUGGUGGCAUAUCCUGUUUAGACCCUAUUCAGUGUCUAACACGUUUUAGCCUGUGGGGAUCUCAGGAAAAAUAAUACAAAAUAGA